UACGGAGGGUGCAAGCGUUAUCCGGAUUCACUGGGUUUAAAGGGUGCGUAGGCGGGUUGGUAAGUCCGUGGUGAAAUCUCCGAGCUUAACUCGGAAACUGCCGUGGAUACUAUCAAUCUUGAAUAUCGUGGAGGUAAGCGGAAUAUGUCAUGUAGCGGUGAAAUGCUUAGAUAUGACAUAGAACACCAAUUGCGAAGGCAGCUGGCUACACGAAUAUUGACACUGAUGCACGAAAGCGUGGGGAUCAAACAGG
rnacentral:rRNA from 1 species